GACCUGAUGGUGUAGUGGUAACACACCUGCUGAAUUUAAGUAUUCUUCAAUUUCCAAUAAGCAGGAGGCCCUGGUUUGAACCUGGGUCAGGUCA